rnacentral:rRNA from 1 species
UACGAAGGGGGCUAGCGUUGUUCGGAAUUACUGGGCGUAAAGCGCGCGCAGGCGGCUAUCCAAGUCAGUGGUGAAAGCCCGGAGCUCAACUCCGGAACUGCCAUUGAAACUGUUUAGCUUGAGGACGAGAGAGGUGAGUGGAAUUCCCAGUGUAGAGGUGAAAUUCGUAGAUAUUGGGAAGAACACCGGUGGCGAAGGCGGCUCACUGGCUCGUAUCUGACGCUCAGGCGCGAUAGCGUGGGGAUCAAACAGGAUUAGAAACCCUGGUAGU